rnacentral:rRNA from 1 species
AGUGAACGCUGGCGGCGUGCCUAAUACAUGCAAGUCGAACGAAGUGGCGCACGGGUGAGUAACACGUGAGUAACCUGCCUUAGACAUUGGGAUAGCCUCGGGAAACCGGGAUUAAUACCAAAUGGUCUAAGAUGGACUCGCGUCCCAUUAGCUAGUUGGUGAGGUAACGGCCAACCAAGGCGACGAUGGGUAGCCGGCCUGAGAGGGUGAACGGCCACAUUGGAACUGAGAAACGGUCCAAACGCUACGGGAGGCAGCAGUGGGGAAUAUUGGACAAUGGGCGAAAGCCUGAUGCAGCGACGCGGCGUGGGGGAUGAAGGCUUUCGGGUUGUAAACCUCUUCGCUAUCGAAGAUUUUUUUGGUGGGUUGAGGGUAGGUGGAGAAGAAGCGCCGGCUAACUACGUGCCAGCAGCCGCGGUAAUUC